UUUGUUUUUUUGUGUUAAUUUAAUCAUACAAAUAUUCAUUUACAUGGUAAGGAAAACCUCAUCUUCAUCUCCUAGGCACCACAAGCCCCCACCAGACAGCCAUCAGUGUCCAGGAGGGAGGGACAGCAGGCUGCCCCACAUUCACCCAAGGAAACAAGGGGUAAGAGGGCAGGUGGAGAGAGCACACUGGUCUGCACCUGUGAGCCUGAUGAUUCUGUCCUUUCCUGCUGGGAGCUGGGCUAAAUCCGGGUCUUUACACUCAUGCUCACUUCCCACCUUGGCCACCAGCUAUCUCGGUGUAAGCGCCUGGCUUAUGGCUACAGCCAGUCCACACGGGGGGAUAGGAGGCUGCUUUGUAGACAAAUAUUCCAAAUUCAGUUGUCUCCAUGUCAAAAAGACAUAGGCAUGCACACGUGCGUGCACAGACACACACGUACACACACAGAUUCUUCCCAAGACUGCACCCACUGAUGGCCCCCCAAUCCUCCUGAAACUUGGCAUGUGCUGUCAGAUGGGGGUCCUGCCAAAAGAUGGCCAAGUGCUCAUGUGUGACAGCUCUAAGGGCUGCAGAAUGGUCAAGGCUUGCACCAGCUCUGGCCUUCUGAAGGAGCUACCUCUCCAGGAUGCACAGACAAGGCUUGUUUCUGGGAAGGAAGCCAGGGUACCUGAGCCGUUACAUUUGCCAAGUGGGGCUGCUACAAGCAGGAAGGGGCACAGGAGGAGAGGGAGGACACUUG
rnacentral:lncRNA from 1 species